AUUGAACGCUGGCGGAAUGCUUUACACAUGCAAGUCGAACGGUAGAGGGGGCAACCCCUCGAGAGUGGCGAACGGGUGAGUAAUAUAUCGGAACGUGCCCAGUCGUAGGGGAUAACGUAGCGAAAGUUACGCUAAUACCGCAUACGAUCUAAGGAUGAAAGCGGGGGAUCGCAAGACCUCGCGCGAUCGGAGCGGCCGAUAUCAGAUUAGGUAGUUGGUGGGGUAAAGGCUCACCAAGCCAACGAUCUGUAGCUGGUCUGAGAGGACGACCAGCCACACUGGAACUGAGACACGGUCCAGACUCCUACGGGAGGCAGCAGUGGGGAAUUUUGGACAAUGGACGCAAGUCUGAUCCAGCCAUUCCGCGUGCAGGAUGAAGGCCCUCGGGUUGUAAACUGCUUUUGUACGGAACGAAAAGGUCUCUCUUAAUACGGGGGACUCAUGACGGUACCGUAAGAGUAAGCACCGGCUAACUACGUGCCAGCAGCCGCCGUAA
rnacentral:rRNA from 1 species